rnacentral:rRNA from 1 species
UACGGAGGGGGCAAGCGUUGUUCGGAAUUACUGGGCGUAAAGGGCGCGUAGGCGGCCAUCUAAGUCGAACGUGAAAUCCCCGGGCUCAACCCGGGAACUGCGUCCGAUACUGGUUGGCUUGAAUCCGGGAGAGGGAUGCGGAAUUCCAGGUGUAGCGGUGAAAUGCGUAGAUAUCUGGAGGAACACCGGUGGCGAAGGCGGCGUCCUGGACCAACACUGACACUGAUGAGCGAAAGCCAGGGGAGCAAACGGG